UGACCCUGAUCUUCCCAGCAUACCUCAUGAAGUCAACAAUCGACAAAUAACCAGUGAGAGAUGUCGGGAAGGUCACGGAGA
rnacentral:pre_miRNA from 1 species